CAGGGCUUGGAUUGUGAUCUC
rnacentral:miRNA from 1 species